UACAGAGGUCCCAAGCGUUGUUCGGAUUCACUGGGCGUAAAGGGUGCGUAGGCGGUCGGGUAAGUCUGAUGUGAAAUCUCACAGCUUAACUGUGAAACUGCAUUGGAUACUAUCCGGCUCGAGGAAUGGAGGGGGGACUGGAAUUCUCGGUGUAGCAGUGAAAUGCGUAGAUAUCGAGAGGAACACCAGUGGCGAAGGCGAGUCCCUGGACAACUUCUGACGCUGAGGCACGAAAGCUAGGGGAGCAAACAGG
rnacentral:rRNA from 1 species